rnacentral:tRNA from 1 species
GCCCCCAUAGCCCAACGGCAGAGGCAAGCGGCUUAAACCCGCUCCAGUCCGGGUUCGAAUCCCGGUGGGGGCA